AUAAAAUAAAAAUUUAUAUGCAAAGAUAGUUUAACCGAACCAUAUGAGUUGUAAACUUGUAAUUUUAAGGGCUCUCCAUUAAUGCUCAUCAUUUUUCUUGAGGAAAAUCUAGAAUUGAGUUUAUAUUAAGAAUAUAACAUUUUGUAUAUUAAAAACCUUCUAAUUUUUACUACUUUUCUUUCAGAUAAGAGAGAUUCGCCAGAAAUAUGAUAUGGUGACCUACCUGUUGGAGUAUAUUGACUAUCCUGACCAAAAUUGAUCUGCUGUCAGUUCCAUUUGGCGAGGGGAUGUCUGAUGUAGCUUCAAGCAGGGACCUGCGCCUUUCAUUGGAUUGGUGUCCGGAAAAGGGUUGGACAGUGCCUAUGCCCACUUGCUCAGCACAUACAUGGUCUUCUUAAAGGCAGAAGUAUUUAGCAGAUGCUAUCCGGGGGAUCAUAUUCCAAAAUAAGGUUUUGAGGAUUAAGGAUAAGUCUAUUGAUCAGGCUCUAGCCUACUUUUGUGAGGUUUUGAUGUCUAUUAGAGGUGUUCUUCCAGAACCCAUGAAAUACACUGCCAGAACCGGAGAGAAUAGUCCAAGAUCUUCUGGUACCUCACUGCUUAGGACUCUCAGAAUUCAGUCUUUGGGAAAGCUGAAUCCAAUUGAUUUGAAGCGCUUGUCUUUCCAUAUGUCACCACCCCACAAGGCAACUCAAAACAAGAAGAUUAAUGAGGAACUAGACAGAGAAAUGGAAGUGGAUCACAAAGAUGGAAAAGCUGAAAAAGAUGACGCACUAGAGUCAUAGCUGAUAGUUGUAGUAUGGUUGAACAAUAUACUGAGAAUUAUGGUUGAUGUAUCUAUAUACUUUGUUUAUGUUUUGAAUUAUAGUGACUUGCUUGU